UACAGAGGGGGCCAGCGUUAUUCGGAGUUAUUGGGCGUAAAGGGCGCGUAGGCGGCCAUGCGUGUCUUCCGUGAAAUCCCUCGGCUCAACCGAGGACGUGCGGAAGAAACUGCAAGGCUCGAGUCCGGAAGAGGGGGGCGGAAUUCCCAGUGUAGCGGUGAAAUGCGUAGAUAUUGGGAGGAACACCAGUGGCGAAGGCGACUCACUGGACUGGUACUGACGCUGAUGCGCGAAAGCGUGGGGAGCAAACAGG
rnacentral:rRNA from 1 species